GGAAUCUUCCACAAUGGACGAAAGUCUGAUGGAGCAACGCCGCGUGAGUGAAGAAGGGUUUCGGCUCGUAAAACUCUGUUGUUAAAGAAGAACAUAUCUGAGAGUAACUGUUCGGGUAUUGACGGUAUUUAACCAGAAAGCCACGGCUAACUACGUGCCAG
rnacentral:rRNA from 1 species